rnacentral:lncRNA from 1 species
UUCUGGGGGUUAAUAGUGAUAAUUCUCCUAAGUCAUUUUUCCAUUUCGUUUUUCUGUCACGGGCUUGGAGCGGUUAAGAGACUGCGGCUCCCAGCAUGCGGUACGUUACUGAUCAGGGCAAAAUCAAGUAUGUUACUACAUGCUUCUCAAACUAGAGAGGCACAGCCCCAAUUCUGCACUGGCAGGAUACAAAACAGCAGAAUAUUGGUGAUACAUCUUCCUGGAACAUCAGUUUUUCUAUGAGAUGUGGAAGAAAUGGAAUUAAGUAGUUUACAAGACAGUUGCUUUGUGUGUGGUAGCAGUGGCCCAAGACUGAAACAUCACGGAUGUACCUCUCCUUUGUCGACAUUCCAAAACUCCACAAAGUGACUGGUGUGAUCCUGAUGGUCUACCAAUUGUAUUUGGAAGCACCGUGAAGCUUUUCCAGCAAACCAUUUAGUUUAAAAUGUUGCAUAUUUUGAAGAUGCAAAAUAAAUUCUAUCUAUGUAAAUAUCAGCUGAAAAAUGUAUUGAGAGAUAUAAACUGCCCUCUUCUCAAGAGAGACCCCACAGAGUCUUGCAGCUUUAAGUCCUCCUCUCUGGCUGCUGAUAACCCCUAGAUGUGGCGCCUCUUCCCUGAGCGGAGUAUCCAGAUGACUCUAGUACAAGGACUCACCCCUGACUUCUUCCCUUCUCACCCGCCAUGCAAUCCCACAGUAAGUCUUGUGGCCCUGCCUGCAGCACGCAUCCUGAUUGCAGCCUCUUCUUGCUCUCUGCGUUUCUACAGCCAGUUUCAGCCACCUUCGUCACUUACUGGCCUGCUGCCCAAGACUGCCUCCAAACCUUCUCCUUGCUGCCUCUCUUGCCCUCCCACAGUCCAUUCUCCACUCAGCAUCCAGAGUGAUCUCUUAAAAACAUGAAAAACAUAAUAUACCCCCACAGCCCCAUUUAGAC